rnacentral:rRNA from 1 species
CUCGACCUCAGAUCAGGCAAGGCUACCCGCUGAAUUUAAGCAUAUUAAUAAGCGGAGGAAAAGAAACUAACAAGGAUUCCCCCAGUAACGGCGAGUGAAGCGGGAAGAGCUCAAAUUUAAAAUCUCCGUUGCUUGC